AAGUGAGGAUGGGGGUUGUGUUUUUGAAGUCCUGGUUUGCGAGGAAAGUUAGUUUUCUAGGCUAUCAGAUCACCACACAAACUCUGACAAGAAAAUAAAUUAUAAAGACAUAUUCAAGCAGGACUGGGGGUCACGUGAUACACAGCGGCAGGAGGACGUCAUUGCGGAUCCUCAAAAUACACGGUCCACUCACUGCAGGCAAAGAACACAGUGACGGAGAUGAGCAAACCAUGCCAGAGAGAGGGGAUAGACGCUGCUGGAACUGCGGGAGCCCUAGUCACCUACAAGCCAGGUGCUGCUGCCGCCCAGUACCGUCGACAUCAGAAAGCGUUCAGCCAGCGUGGAAACAGGAGCCUGCUGCUCCACCAGCUUCCUCUUUUACUUAAGAAAGCGCAUUUCGUCCCCCCGAACCUAAACUUUCAAUACCGCUGUACAACUGUCAAAAACAAUUUAGAAUGAUUCAUUAUGAAAUCCCUUCAAGACAGACUGAGAAUGUUUUUCUAUCUUGUAAAGGUCCUGUAUGUGUUAUGCAUGUGUAAAAUGAUCAUGUGUUUAGGAAGCUUAAUUAGUACCAGUCCCUGUAGAACCGAAACACAUGUAUCUAUUUACUGUGCAGGAAAAUGGUCAUUCAAUAAUCAUCUGUAUCAUAACAAUUGGAAACAGACUCUUUUUUAUAUCUUUCUUCUUUUAAAUUCUUGUCAUUGGGGGUGUACUGUUGCAAGAAUUAUAUGUAUGAACCAAUAAACUAACAGUACGAAUAAACUAUCCAAAUUACCAUAUCAGUACCAGUGACAGUGUAUCUAAACCACUACUGUGCAGUAUUACCAGAGAGAGGGACAUAUUUUCAAAGCGUUUACUGCAGUCUUGAAUUAACUCCUAUUUUUUUAUAGAAGAAAAUGACAUGUAAAUAACACACAACUGAGAAGCAAAAAUCUUUACAAUGCUUCAAAUGUCAAGAAUAGUAGUACAUAAGUUGUCUGGUUCUGGUUUUGUAAAAUCAGUAGCUGUUUUUCGCUUUUCAAAAUAUAGGAGUCAAUUAAAGACUGGAGUAAACACUGAGUAUAUUUCAUUAUGUUCUAAAAUGUAGGGUGAUUAUAAUGCGCUGCUGCGGCUGCUGAAAUAAAAGUAAAUGUAACAUACUUUUAUCAUUUUAAAUUGAAAUUCGUUUGACUUUUGUAUUUA